rnacentral:rRNA from 1 species
AACGAACGCUGGCGGCAGGCUUAACACAUGCAAGUCGAACGAAGUCUUCGGACUUAGUGGCAGACGGGUGAGUAACGCGUGGGAACCUACCCUUUGGUACGGAACAACAGUUGGAAACGACUGCUAAUACCGUAUGAGCCCUACGGGGGAAAGAUUUAUCGCCAAAGGAUGGGCCCGCGUUGGAUUAGCUAGUUGGUGGGGUAAWRGCCUACCAAGGCGACGAUCCAUAGCUGGUCUGAGAGGAUGAUCAGCCACACUGGGACUGAGACACGGCCCAGACUCCUACGGGAGGCAGCAGUGGGGAAUAUUGGACAAUGGGGGCAACCCUGAUCCAGCCAUGCCGCGUGAGUGAUGAAGGCCCUAGGGUUGUAAAGCUCUUUCAGCGAGGAGGAUAAUGACGUACUCG